rnacentral:rRNA from 1 species
CAAUAGCGUAUAUUAAAGUUGUUGCGGUAAAAAAGCUCGUAGUUGGGUUUCUGUUGAGAGCGACCGGUCCAUACCAUGUAUGCGUAUCUGGCUUGCUCUCGGCAUCCUCUCGAUAGACGUUACUGCGCUUGAUUGCGUGGUGCGGAUCUCGGGACUUUUACUUUGAGGAAAUUAGAGUGUUCACGGCAGGCUUUCGCCAGAAUACAUUAGCAUGGAAUAAUACUAUAGGAUCUUGGUUCUAUUUUGUUGGUUUCUAGAAUUGAGAUAAUGAUUAAUAGGGACAAUUGGGGGCAUUCGUAUCAACACGUCAGAGGUGGAAUUCUUGGAUUGUGUUGCGACGAACUACUGCGAAAGCAUUUGCCAAGGAUGUUUUCAUUGA